rnacentral:rRNA from 1 species
AUUGAACGCUGGCGGCAUGCUUUACACAUGCAAGUCGAACGGCAGCGCGGGGGCAACCCUGGCGGCGAGUGGCGAACGGGUGAGUAAUGUAUCGGAACGUAUCCUGUAAUGGGGGAUAACCAGUCGAAAGAUUGGGUAAUACCGCAUACGCACGAGAGUGGAAAGUAGGGGAUCGCAAGACCUUACGUUAUAGGAGCGGCCGAUAUCUGAUUAGCUAGUUGGUGGGGUAAAGGCCUACCAAGGCGACGAUCAGUAGCUGGUCUGAGAGGAUGAUCAGCCACACUGGGACUGAGACACGGCCCAGACUCCUACGGGAGGCAGCAGUGGGGAAUUUUGGACAAUGGGCGAAAGCCUGAUCCAGCCAUGCCGCGUGCGGGAAGAAGGCCUCGGUUGUAA